rnacentral:lncRNA from 1 species
UUAAUUAAUAUGUUAAUUAAUCAAACGAAUAAGUUCGUUAGAGACCUCGGGAUAGUUUUGGGCCUCAAGGCCCAAUGGGCGUCGAACGUCAGGCCCAGUGACUUAAGUUGUAUGACAACUUAAUGACAAAUAAUUCACAAAGGGCCUUAAAAGCCCAAUGAAACCCUAUGGCCGGCCAUUUUGUUAAAGGAGUGGGUUUUGGACUUAAUUACA